GAUGAACGCUGGCGGCGUGCCUAAUACAUGCAAGUCGAGCGAAUGGAUUAAGAGCUUGCUCUUAUGAAGUUAGCGGCGGACGGGUGAGUAACACGUGGGUAACCUGCCCAUAAGACUGGGAUAACUCCGGGAAACCGGGGCUAAUACCGGAUAAUAUUUUGAACUGCAUGGUUCAAAAUUGAAAGGCGGCUUCGGCUGUCACUUAUGGAUGGACCCGCGUCGCAUUAGCUAGUUGGUGAGGUAACGGCUCACCAAGGCAACGAUGCGUAGCCGACCUGAGAGGGUGAACGGCCACACGGGGACUGAGGCACGGCCCAGACUCCUACGGGAGGCAGCAGUAGGGAAUCUUCCGCAAUGGACGAAAGUCUGACGGAGCAACGCCGCGUGAGUGAUGAAGGCUUUCGGGUCGUAAAACUCUGUUGUUAGGGAAGAACAAGUGCUAGUUGAAUAAGCUGGCACCUUGACGGUACCUAACCAGAAAGCCACGGCUAACUACGUGCCAGCCGCCGCAGUAA
rnacentral:rRNA from 1 species